rnacentral:lncRNA from 1 species
CACAGUUUCAUCAAGCACACUUUGUCUUGGCUAGUUUCAUUUGAUGGCUUGAAAAUAUCAACUUGAGUGGGGAAGAGAUGGUCAUCUCUAUAUGGACAGACAUGUUUCCAGCUGAUGAGUUUUUGUGAGGAGCAGCAACAUGGUGAGCAUGCUGACACCAAAGAAUAGAAAGAAACCAGGGCAGCCCUUCUCCCUGGGCUCCUAUGUGCCCUGGUGCUCAUGAACA